GUAGGUGGCAAGCGUUGUCCGGAAUUAUUGGGCGUAAAGCGCGCGCAGGCGGGUUCUUUAAGUCUGAUGUGAAAGCCCACGGGCUCAACCGUGGAGGGUCAUUGGAAACUGGAGAACUUGAGUACAGAAGAGGAAAGCGGAAUUCCACGUGUAGCGGUGAAAUGCGUAGAGAUGUGGAGGAACACCAGUGGCGAAGGCGGCUUUCUGGUCUGUAACUGACGCUGAGGCGCGAAAGCGUGGGGAGCAAACGGGAUUAGAUACCCUGGUAGUCCACGCCGUAAACGAUGAGUGCUAAGUGUUAGGGGGUUUCCACCCCUUAGUGCUGCAGCUAACGCAUUAAGCACUCCGCCUGGGGAGUACGGCCGCAAGGCUG
rnacentral:rRNA from 1 species